rnacentral:rRNA from 1 species
UUCAGACUCCUACGGGAGGCAGCAGUGAGGAAUAUUGGUCAAUGGGCUUACGCCUGAACCAGCCAAGUCGCGUGAGGGAAGACUGCCCUAUGGGUUGUAAACCUCUUUUGUCAGGGAGCAAUUGGCGCUACGUGUAGCGUUAUCGAGAGUACCUGAAGAGAAAGCAUCGGCUAACUCCGUGCCAGCAGCCGCGGUAAUACGGAGGAUGCGAGCGUUAUCCGGAUUUAUUGGGUUUAAAGGGUGCGUAGGCGGGCUGUUAAGUCAGCGGUCAAAUGUCGGGGCUCAACCCCGGCCUGCCGUUGAAACUGGCGGCCUCGAGUGGGCGAGAAGUAUGCGGAAUGCGUGGUGUAGCGGUGAAAUGCAUAGAUAUCACGCAGAACUCCGAUUGCGAAGGCAGCAUACCGGCGCGCAACUGACGCUCAUGCACGAAAGCGUGGGUAUCGAACAGGAUUAGAUACCCUUGUAG